rnacentral:tRNA from 1 species
UCGGCAUGCUGGUGGACAACGCCAUCGUGGUCCUGGAAAACGUGGACCGGCACCGGCGGAUGGGCAAGGGGCCGUUCGAGGCCGCCUACGACGGG